CAUGAGCCACGCCAACCCCAUCAAACCGAACCGGAUCCAGCAGAUCCUGCGCCGUUACUUCAAGCGGAUCCUGCCCAGGCCGCUGACUCUGAUCGAGGAUCCCAUGAGCCAGCUCAACCGCCUGAUGCAGUGGGACAUGCAGCAGAUCGACGAUCGGGAGUAUCGCCGCCGCCUCUGAGCGAUCCCCCUCGCCCGGAUCGCGCAAGGGAGGGCGCAGUU
rnacentral:sRNA from 1 species